GAUGAACGCUGGCGGCGUGCCUAAUACAUGCAAGUCGAGCGAAUGGAUUAAGAGCUUGCUCUUAUGAAGUUAGCGGCGGACGGGUGAGUAACACGUGGGUAACCUGCCCAUAAGACUGGGAUAACUCCGGGAAACCGGGGCUAAUACCGGAUAACAUUUAGAACCGCAUGGUUCGAAAUUGAAAGGCGACUUCGGCUGUCACUUAUGGAUGGACCCGCGUCGCAUUAGCUAGUUGGUGAGGUAACGGCUCACCAAGGCAACGAUGCGUAGCCGACCUGAGAGGGUGAUCGGCCACACUGGGACUGAGACACGGCCCAGACUCCUACGGGAGGCAGCAGUAGGGAAUCUUCCGCAAUGGACGAAAGUCUGACGGAGCAACGCCGCGUGAGUGAUGAAGGCUUUCGGGUCGUAAAACUCUGUUGUUAGGGAAGAACAAGUGCUAGUUGAAUAAGCUGGCACCUUGACGGUACCUAACCAGAAAGCCACGGCUAACACGUGCCAGCCGCCGCAGUAA
rnacentral:rRNA from 1 species